CCUACGGGAGGCAGCAGUGAGGAAUAUUGGUCAAUGGACGAGAGUCUGAACCAGCCAAGUAGCGUGAAGGAUGACUGCCCUAUGGGUUGUAAACUUCUUUUAUAAAGGAAUAAAACGAGGCACGUGUGCCUUUUUGCAUGUACUUUAUGAAUAAGGAUCGGCUAACUCCGUGCCAGCAGCCGCGGUAAUACGGAGGAUCCGAGCGUUAUCCGGAUUUAUUGGGUUUAAAGGGAGCGUAGACGGGUUGUUAAGUCAGUUGUGAAAGUUUGCGGCUCAACCGUAAAAUUGCAUUUGAUACUGGGAGUCUUGAGUACAGUUGAGGUAAGCGGAAUUCGUGGUGUAGCGGUGAAAUGCUUAGAUAUCACGAAGAACCCCGAUUGCGAAGGCAGCUUACUAAACUGUGACUGACAUUGAUGCUCGAAAGUGUGGGUAUCAAACAGGAUUAGAUACCCCAGUAGUC
rnacentral:rRNA from 1 species